ACUCUCGGCUCGGGGUCCUGCGCGGAAAAUAUGCGCGGGUGAGAAAUACCCGUUGAACCUGAUUGAGGUAAUCCUCGCGCAGGAAAGCAUGCAAUCCAUCGC
rnacentral:ncRNA from 1 species